CCUACGGGUGGCAGCAGUGGGGAAUAUUGGACAAUGGGGGCAACCCUGAUCCAGCCAUGCCGCGUGUGUGAAGAAGGCCCUCGGGUUGUAAAGCACUUUCAGUGAGGAAGAACGCCUGGUGGUUAAUACCCAUCAGGAAAGACAUCACUCACAGAAGAAGCACCGGCUAACUCCGUGCCAGCAGCCGCGGUAAUACGGAGGGUGCGAGCGUUAAUCGGAAUUACUGGGCGUAAAGCGCGCGUAGGUGGCUUGAUAAGCCGGUUGUGAAAGCCCCGGGCUCAACCUGGGAACGGCAUCCGGAACUGUCAAGCUAGAGUGCAGGAGAGGAAGGUAGAAUUCCCGGUGUAGCGGUGAAAUGCGUAGAGAUCGGGAGGAAUACCAGUGGCGAAUGCGGCCUUCUGGACUGACACUGACACUGAGGUGCGAAAGCGUGGGUAGUAAACAGGAUUAGAUACCCUAGUAGUC
rnacentral:rRNA from 1 species